rnacentral:misc_RNA from 1 species
CAAAGUGUCCUGAAUUUCAAUAAGAACAAUAGAGAAAGCAUAGGCAAAGGCAAUAUCUCCAAGAGCAGAGAAGGUGUUCCACAUCUUGUCUCUGCUUGAUACAUCUUUUCCAACUAUUGUCCCUGUUAAGCUUGUAUUUGCACUUACUCCAUCCUUUGCAAUCUUGGCAAUGGAUAGACCAAGUCCAAUGAAAGAAUAAGCAAAGGACAUGGCAGCAG